rnacentral:rRNA from 1 species
CAUUACUGAGUGAGGGCCCUCUGGGUCCAACCUCCCACCCGUGUUUAUUGUACCUUGUUGCUUCGGUGCGCCCGCCUCACGGCCGCCGGGGGGCUUCUGCCCCCGGGUCCGCGCGCACCGGAGACACUAUUGAACUCUGUCUGAAGAUUGCAGUCUGAGCAUAAACUAAAUAAGUUAAAACUUUCAACAACGGAUCUCUUGGUUCCGGCAUCGAUGAAGAACGCAGCGAAAUGCGAUAACUAAUGUGAAUUGCAGAAUUCAGUGAAUCAUCGAGUCUUUGAACGCACAUUGCGCCCCCUGGUAUUCCGGGGGGCAUGCCUGUCCGAGCGUCAUUGCUGCCCUCAAGCACGGCUUGUGUGUUGGGCUCCGUCCCCCCGGGGACGGGUCCGAAAGGCAGCGGCGGCACCGAGUCCGGUCCUCGAGCGUAUGGGGCUUUGUCACCCGCUCUGUAGGCCCGGCCGGCGCCAGCCGACAACCAAUCAUCCUUUUUUCAGGUUGACCUCGGAUCAGGUAGGGAUACCCGCUGAACUUAAGCAUAUCAAUAAGCGGAGGAAAAGAAACCAACAGGGAUUACCUCAGUAACGGCGAGUGAAGCGGUAAGAGCUCAAAUUUGAAAGCUGGCUCCUUCGGGGUCCGCAUUGUAAUUUGCAGAGGAUGUUUCGGGAGCAGCCCCCAUCUAAGUGUCCUGGAACGGACCGUCAUAGAGGGUGAGAAUCCCGUAUGGGAUGGGGUGUCUGCGCCCAUGUGAAACUCCUUCGACGAGUC